rnacentral:rRNA from 1 species
GAUGAACGCUGGUGGCGUGCCUAACACUUGCAAGUCGAGCGAUUCUCUUCGGAGAAGAGCGGCGGACGGGUGAGUAACGCGUGGGUAACCUGCCCUGUACACACGGAUAACAUACCGAAAGGUAUGCUAAUACGAGAUAACAUGCUUUUAUCGCAUGGUAGAAGUAUCAAAGCUUUUGCGGUACAGGAUGGACCCGCGUCUGAUUAGCUAGUUGGUGAGGUAACGGCUCACCAAGGCGACGAUCAGUAGCCGACCUGAGAGGGUGAUCGGCCACAUUGGAACUGAGACACGGUCCAAACUCCUACGGGAGGCAGCAGUGGGGAAUAUUGCACAAUGGGCGAAAGCCUGAUGCAGCAACGCCGCGUGAGCGAUGAAGGCCUUCGGGUCGUAAAGCUCUGUCCUCAAGGAAGAUAAUGACGGUACUUGAGGAGGAAGCCCCGGCUAACUACGUG